rnacentral:rRNA from 1 species
GACGAACGCUGGCGGCGUGCUUAACACAUGCAAGUCGAACGGAAAGGCCUGCUUUCCCUUGUGGAUUGCGGGUGCUCGAGUGGCGAACGGGUGAGUAACACGUGAGUGAUCAGCCCCCAACUUGGGUAUAAGCCCGGGAAACUGGGUCUAAUUCCCGAUAGGACUGCAGGGUGGUGCCUGUGGUGGAAAACGAUUUUCUAGUGGUUGGGGAUGAGCUCGCGGCCUAUCAGCUUGUUGGUGGGGUAAUGGCCUACCAAGGCGGCGACGGGUAGCCGGCCUGAGAGGGUGGACGGCCACAUUGGGACUGAGAUACGGCCCAGACUCCUACGGGAGGCAGCAGUGGGGAAUAUUGCACAAUGGGCGGAAGCCUGAUGCAGCGACGCCGCGUGGGGGAUGACGGCCUUCGGGUUGUAAACUCCUUUCGACCGCGAGGAAGCCACCUGGUUGGAAGGGUGGUGACGGUAGUGGUAGAAGAAGCACCGGCUAACUACGUG